UACGUAGGGCGCAAGCGUUGUCCGGAAUUAUUGGGCGUAAAGAGCUCGUAGGCGGUCUGUUACGUCCGCUGUGAAAACCCAGGGCUUAACCCUGGGCUUGCAGUGGAUACGGGCAGACUAGAGGCAGGUAGGGGAGAAUGGAAUUCCCGGUGUAGCGGUGAAAUGCGCAGAUAUCGGGAGGAACACCGGUGGCGAAGGCGGUUCUCUGGGCCUGACCUGACGCUGAGGAGCGAAGGCGUGGGG
rnacentral:rRNA from 1 species